rnacentral:rRNA from 1 species
GACGGAGGGAGCAAGCGUUGUCCGGAAUUACUGGGCGUAAAGAGCUCGUAGGCGGGAAUUUAAGUCUGGGAGUAAAUCCGACGGCUCAACUGUCGGGUCAUUCUGGAUACUGGAUUUCUUGAGGACAGAAGAGGAAAGCGGAAUUCCUGGUGUAGCGGUGAAAUGCGUAGAUAUCAGGAGGAACACCGGUGGCGAAGGCGGCUUUCUGGUCUGGUCCUGACGCUGAGGAGCGAAAGCCAGGGGAGCGAAC